UUUWGAGUUUUUKKACCUGGCUCAGAUUGAACGCUGGCGGCAGGCUUAACACAUGCAAGUCGAGCGGAGAGAGGUAGCUUGCUACCGAUCUUAGCGGCGGACGGGUGAGUAAUGCUUAGGAAUCUGCCUAUUAGUGGGGGACAACAUUUCGAAAGGAAUGCUAAUACCGCAUACGUCCUACGGGAGAAAGCAGGGGAUCUUCGGACCUUGCGCUAAUAGAUGAGCCUAAGUCGGAUUAGCUAGUUGGUGGGGUAAAGGCCUACCAAGGCGACGAUCUGUAGCGGGUCUGAGAGGAUGAUCCGCCACACUGGGACUGAGACACGGCCCAGACUCCUACGGGAGGCAGCAGUGGGGAAUAUUGGACAAUGGGCGCAAGCCUGAUCCAGCCAUGCCGCGUGUGUGAAGAAGGCCUUAUGGUUGUAAAGCACUUUAAGCGAGGAGGAGGCUACUUUAGUUAAUACCUAGAGAUAGUGGACGUUACUCGCAGAAUAAGCACCGGCUAACUCUGUGCCAGCAGCCGCGGUAAUACAGAGGGUGCAAGCGUUAAUCGGAUUUACUGGGCGUAAAGCGCGCGUAGGCGGCUAAUUAAGUCAAAUGUGAAAUCCCCGAGCUUAACUUGGGAAUUGCAUUCGAUACUGGUUAGCUAGAGUGUGGGAGAGGAUGGUAGAAUUCCAGGUGUAGCGGUGAAAUGCGUAGAGAUCUGGAGGAAUACCGAUGGCGAAGGCAGCCAUCUGGCCUAACACUGACGCUKAKKCGAARG
rnacentral:rRNA from 1 species